UACGUAGGGUGCGAGCGUUAAUCGGAAUUACUGGGCGUAAAGCGUGCGCAGGCGGUCUGUUAAGACAGAUGUGAAAUCCCCGGGCUUAACCUGGGAACUGCAUUUGUGACUGGCAGGCUAGAGUAUGGCAGAGGGGGGUAGAAUUCCACGUGUAGCAGUGAAAUGCGUAGAGAUGUGGAGGAAUACCGAUGGCGAAGGCAGCCCCCUGGGCCAAUACUGACGCUCAUGCACGAAAGCGUGGGAGCAAGCAGG
rnacentral:rRNA from 1 species